CCUUUAUGGCUUUGGUUCGAACCGUGAUGAGUGCGUCGAACCGUUUUGUGAGGGCUUUGGCGGCGAUGUCGUCAGGGGAAGGAAGAGGGUCGGUGGAGUUGGUGGAGUUUGUGGAAGCCAUUGUUGGUGUUGGUGUGAAAAGGGUAUCUGAAUUUUGUUCCAAAAUGGGGUCUUUGAGGUGAAGGGUCAGAACAGGGUGGUUGUUAUGGUGGUUGGGGGUGGUGGUGAGGGUGGUGGCGUCACCAUUGGGGUGGUGGCAGUGAGUCUCGUUUUGGGGCAUUUAGCCAUAAAGGGUCAUCACCCACUGCCACUUAUGCUGAAUUGGAAUGUUAUUAAUGGAAGCAUAAAAAGAAGACGACUAAGUGUUUGAUGAAUUGUCCCAGAGAAAAACAAGAAGAAAAAGAGGAGGAACAAGAAGAAGAUGGAAGAGGUUUUAAGAGAGUGUGAUUGUGUUUGUGAUUGUGAGAGUGUGAGUGAGUGAGAGUGUGUGAAUAUCCUUACACAUAUAAACAUUUUUAAUUAAUAAUCUUAAUAUGCGUUCUUAUUUUUCAAAUUAAAAGUUUCGGUUUCAGCGUUUUUUCCCCUUCGUUUAUGGUCCGAAUAUGCAAUUUCAUAAUCAUAAGUUGUAAAGAGAAAUCAAACGGGCUUUUAUAUUCAGAUUUGGGCCAUGACCUUCUAUUUGUUCCGCUGUCUCUGGGUUUAGUUUGGACUUUGGUGGAUUGGUCAAGCAAGUUCAUGAUGAUGUAGUUUCGCUUUCAUGUAUUUUAUAUUUUUAUAUUUUUUGAAAUUGAAUAUGUAUAAAUAAGAGAAAAGGACAAUUUAGUCCCUCACCUUUUAACCCGAAAACAUUUUCGUCCCUGAGCAUUGAAAAAUACAUUUAAAUCCCUGACGUUCCUUAAAAUAAGACCGAUCCGUCCCUCCGUCCAUGAGCCACCCUCAGAGCAGACGGAAAACGCUGAGUUGGCUUCCCCUAUGCUGACCUGACUCAUCGGUGUUCCCACGUGGCAAAUAAGUGGGAUGGAUGUUUUGAAAACGGGACACAUUAGUCCCUCUAACACAAAACGACGUCGUUCUGCUCUGGACACAUUAGUCCCUGGACACAUUAGUUUCUCUACAGGACCUUCCGCAAUGUUGUACUUGGAACACCAUUCUUUCACCUUGGUUCUCAACUCCUCCCAAAGAGGCAAGCAUCUACCAAUCAGUGGUCGCUCAGCUUCAAUGUCCUGAAUCAUUCCUCUUAUGACCUUCACAAUGGAAUAAACGGCUUCUAACUCAUUCCAAAAGCCCUCGUUGUUAAAAUCCUUGAUUAAACUAAUGAACCCCUGAAGCUGACAAGAAGUAUUUACCAUCCAAUGGUUCUGAGCCUCCAAGUUCCUCAAAGCCUUGGCCUUGAACUUGUCUGCAACAAUCCCAACACACCUUUGAACAACACUUCCACUGGCACCAGUCACAGUCUCCCACAGAACCUCCUCAGCAUAACUGGAAGACACAACUCCACCAGUGAACAAAGCCUUCUGGAACACACUAGUACCAUUGGGAAGAUUCACCACAAACUUCACCAAAUUCUCACCACCACAACACAAACUAUACCAAUUCAUAUUCUUCCAACCAUCACUAGCCACCUGAAAGAACAUGGCAUCCCUUAUCUUGGCCUCAGACUCAGCCUUGGCCUCACUGAACUUAGCAUCAAGCCUUGGACCUGAGAUUUCAUGCCUCAAAGUAUUUGUUGCAGGCAAACCAACCUGGCUUAGAAAAGCCUGAAACUUUCUGUGCUCAAUUGUGGCCAGAGACACAGAACCACAAGUCUCACACAACCAAUCAGAGAGCAACUCAAGGGCAGAGUUGACCUGCUCCUUACUCAAAGCAGGACCAGGUGAGGUCUUAAGGCUCUUGAGCUUCUUCACACUGUCCUCAAACAUAGGCAAAGCACACAAAUCUUCCUUCCCACCAGACAGUACUAAAUGCUGCUGCUGCUGAUGAUGCUGAUGCUGAUGCUGAUUAUGAUGAUGGUGCUGGUUCACAGAGUUACCAUGCACCUGAGUGUACCCAAUUUUACCACCAAAAGGACCAAACUUUGAAGACUCCACCAUUGCCAAGGCAUGAUUUUGAUAAGGAACAGGUGAUGCAGGUGAAGCCCUCUUCCUGCUAUUGUUGCUAUGGUUCGAACCGGUGUUGACCACUGAGAUUGGAAGCGGAGAAGGAACCGAACCGGGCCUCAAUCCUGUGCUGAAAUUGGGAGACAGUACCAAGCACCCUUUCCCUUUAUGGCUUUGGUUCGAACUGUGAUGAGUGCGUCGAAUCGUUUUGUGAGGGCUUUGGCGGCGAUGUCAUCAGGGGAAGGAAGAGGGUCGGUGGAGUUGGUGGAGUUUGUGGAAGCCAUUGUUGGUGUUGGUGUGAAAAGGGUGUCUGAAUUUUGUUCCAAAAUGGGGUCUUUGAGGUGAAGGGUCAGAACAGGGUGGUUGUUAUGGU
rnacentral:lncRNA from 1 species